GCUCUGGUGGCCAAGCGGUAAGGCGCAUCACUAGUAAUGAUGAGAUCCGCGGUUCAAAUCCGCGUCAGAGCU